GUUCUCCGGUUUCCUCCCACAGUCCAAAGACAUGCAGUCAGGUGCCCAUUGCUCUCCAGCUUUCUGGACCAGUCUGACCACCAUGGACUUUCUGCUGUACAACACUGUGCAAGCGUGACCUGCAUGAACUGACCUUUCUGAAGAUACUACUGCAUUUUUAAUCAGACAUUGCCUCACCUGCUUUUUGCCUUUUCCAUAUCUUAUACUUAUUAUGGUGGUCAAACCUUAUUCUCUGUUGUUAUUGUUCACUAUCCAGUGUCUUUGACAUGACUUGUAUUAGUGUCCAUGGCAUGGGUAACUUGCACAUUUGUAAAGGCACCAUUAACGCUUAAAGAUAUAUAGACAUUUCGGAUCAACAUAUGCAGCCUUUUAGGAGUAAAGUAAGAGACAAUAGCUUAUUUUAACAUGACAGUACCAAGAAACAUUCUGCCCCUUUUGAAACAGCAUUGCUGAGUAAUCAGAGAGUGCAGGUGCUAGACUGAUCUGCCUGUCUUCUACUGAAAACAUAUGGUGCAUUAUGAAGUGUAAAAUACAACAAUGAAGGCCUCAUGUGGUUGCACAGCUGAAGACUUGUAUAACCGAAGAAGACUGGGUUAAUUGGUGUCAUCAGUCCCCAGACAAUUAUUAAGUAUUGUUAAAAGGAAAGGUGAUGUAACACAGUGUUAAACAUGCUCUGGACCAGUGUUUUUAAACAUGUUGCAGGCA